UGGGGAAUUUUGGACAAUGGGCGCAAGCCUGAUCCAGCAAUGCCGCGUGCAGGAUGAAGGCCUUCGGGUUGUAAACUGCUUUUGUACGGAACGAAACGGCGAGCUCUAAUACAGUUUGCUAAUGACGGUACCGUAAGAAUAAGCACCGGCUAACUACGUGCCAGCAGCCGCGGUAAUACGUAGGGUGCAAGCGUUAAUCGGAAUUACUGGGCGUAAAGCGUGCGCAGGCGGUUAUGCAAGACAGAUGUGAAAUCCCCGGGCUCAACCUGGGAACUGCAUUUGUGACUGCAUGGCUAGAGUGCGGCAGAGGGGGAUGGAAUUCCGCGUGUAGCAGUGAAAUGCGUAGAUAUGCGGAGGAACACCGAUGGCGAAGGCAAUCCCCUGGACCUGUACUGACGCUCAUGCACGAAAGCGUGGGGAGCAAACAGGAUUAGAUACCCUGGUAGUCCACGCCCUAAACGAUGAUUACUCGAUGUUGGCGAUACACUGUCAGCGUCUAAGCGAAAGCAUUAAGUAAUCCACCUGGGGAGUACGACCGCAAGGUUG
rnacentral:rRNA from 1 species